rnacentral:tRNA from 1 species
UGGCAAAGUGGUUAUGCCCUUGGCUUCUAGCCAAAAGUUGGUGGUUCGAACCCACU